rnacentral:rRNA from 1 species
GACGAACGCUGGCGGCGUGCUUAACAAAUGCAAGUCGAACGGUGAAGCGCCUUCCUUUUUGGUGGGUGUGGAUGAGUGGCGAACGGGUGAGUAACACGUGAGUAACCUGCCCCCUUCUUCUGGAUAACCGCAUGAAAGUGUGGCUAAUACGGGAUAUUCUGGGUCUGUCGCAUGAUGGGUCUGGGAAAGAUAUUGUUUCGGUGGGGGAUGGGCUCGCGGCCUAUCAGCUUGUUGGUGGGGUGAUGGCCUACCAAGGCGGUGACGGGUAGCCGGCCUGAGAGGGUGGACGGUCACACUGGGACUGAGACACGGCCCAGACUCCUACGGGAGGCAGCAGUGGGGAAUAUUGCACAAUGGGCGCAAGCCUGAUGCAGCGACGCCGCGUGAGGGAUGGAGGCCUUCGGGUUGUGAACCUCUUUCGCCAGUGAAGCAGGCCUGCCUCGUUUGUGGGUGGGUUGACGGUAGCUUGAUAAGAAGCGCCGGCUAACUACGUG